CGUGUAGGCGGCCGGGCAAGUCCGGUGUGAAAGCCCGAGGCUCAGCCUCGGAAGGGCAUCGGAAACUAUCCGGCUCGAGCGCGAUAGAGGAGGGUGGAAUUCCUGGUGUAGCGGUGAAAUGCGUAGAUAUCAGGAGGAACACCGGCGGCGAAGGCGGCCCUCUGGAUCGUUGCUGACGCUGAGACGCGAAAGCGUGGGGAGCAAACAGGAUUAGAUACCCUGGUAGUCCACGCUGUAAACGAUGGGUACUAGGUGUUCGGGGUGUUGACCCCCUGAGUGCCGACGUUAACGCAUUAAGUACCCCGCCUGGGGACUACGGCCGCAAGGUUAAA
rnacentral:rRNA from 1 species